CGCUGAAGCGAUUUCGGUCAAUUCUUGUUUACACUUAGUGGCGGACGGGUGAGUAACGCGUGGGUAACCUGCCGUAUGCAGGGGGACAACAGUUGGAAACGACUGCUAAUACCGCAUAAGCGCACAGAUAGGCAUCUAUCAGUGUGAAAAGAUUUAUCGGCAUACGAUGGACCCGCGUCUGAUUAGCUUGUUGGUGAGGUAACGGCCCACCAAGGCGACGAUCAGUAGCCGGCCUGAGAGGGUGAACGGCCACAUUGGGACUGAGACACGGCCCAAACUCCUACGGGAGGCAGCAGUGGGGAAUAUUGGACAAUGGGGGGAACCCUGAUCCAGCGACGCCGCGUGAGUGAAGAAGUAUUUCGGUAUGUAAAGCUCUAUCAGCAAGGAAGAAAAUGACGGUACUUGACUAAGAAGCUCCGGCUAAAUACGUGCCAGCAGCCGCGGUAAUACGUAUGGAGCAAGCGUUAUCCGGAUUUACUGGGUGUAAAGGGAGUGUAGGUGGCGAGGCAAGUCAGAAGUGAAAAUCCGGGGCUUAACCCCGGAACUGCUUUUGAAACUGUCUUGCUUGAGUGCAGGAGAGGUAAGCGGAAUUCCUAGUGUAGCGGUGAAAUGCGUAGAUAUUAGGAGGAACACCAGUGGCGAAGGCGGCUUACUGGACUGUAACUGACACUGAGGCUCGAAAGCGUGGGGAGCAAACA
rnacentral:rRNA from 1 species